rnacentral:pre_miRNA from 1 species
CAAAUACUCCCUCCGUCCGGAAAUAGUUGUCAUCAAAACGGAUAAAAGGAAAUGUAUCUAGACGUAUUUUAGUUUUAGAUACAUCUAUUUUUAUCCAUUUUGAUGACAAGUAUUUUCGGACGGAGGGAGUAGAAA